AGAACGAACGUUGGCGGCAUGGAUUAGGCAUGCAAGUCGAAUGAAUGCCGAGGUAGCAAUACCUCGGCGGAAAUGGCGAAAGGGGCAGUAAUACAUGGACAACCUACCCUGGGGUUGGGCAUAGCCGUUCUAACGGACGGGUAAUUCCCAGCGAUUCGGCGGCGCCGGCAUCGGCGUUCCGGGAAAGAUUUCGCCUCGGGAGGGUUCAUGAGCUAUCAGCUAGUUGGCGGGUAAUGGCCCACCAAGGCGUAGACGGCUAGCGGGUGUGAGAGCACGACCCGCGCCACUGGCACUGAGACACUGGCCAGACACCUACGGGUGGCUGCAGUCGAGGAUCUUCGUCAAUGGGCGCAAAGCCUGAACGAGCGAUGCCGCGUGAGCGAUGAAGCCUUGGGUGUAAAGCUACAAAAGAGGUAGAGAAAGGAACUUGAUACGAAACCUCAAGUAAGCUCGGCUAAGUCCGUGCCGAGCGAGCCGAC
rnacentral:rRNA from 1 species